GACCGACAUCAGCGACUCGUUCUGCGACCCAUUGCCGACGGCGAGGUAGGCGUUCAUCCCCAGCUCGCGCAUCUGCUGUUCGCCGAUCACCCGGGUGAUGACGUUUUUGCUGUAGGUAUCGGCCAGCUGACGCGCCUGGGAAGCCAGAUAGGCGGCGUUACAGAUGUUCGGCGGCAUAUUGCCAAGAUCUUUCGC
rnacentral:antisense_RNA from 2 species